UACGUAGGGGGCAAGCGUUGUCCGGAUUUAUUGGGCGUAAAGAGCGUGUAGGCGGCCAAGCAGGUCCGCUGUGAAAACUCGAGGCUCAACCUCGAGACGUCGGCGGAAACCAUCUGGCUAGAGUCCGGAAGAGGAGAGUGGAACUCCUGGUGUAGCGGUGAAAUGCGCAGAUAUCAGGAAGAACACCCGUGGCGAAGGCGGCUCUCUGGGACGGUACUGACGCUGAGACGCGAAAGCGUGGGGAGCGAACAGG
rnacentral:rRNA from 1 species